CAGAAAAGCUUACAACAGUCCUGGGGCAGUGUUUCCCAAAUGGUGGCUCCAUCAGUAGAUCACAGGAAGGGUCUUGGGUUGCCUGUGACUGCCCCUCCCAUCACGCCCUGUGCAUACCCCAGAAGUGCCCUCCUCUUCCCUCCCUCCCCCCCAGCAGGGGCAAGAGGGGCAGUUUGACCUGGGCCCUCACACUGAGCGGCAUUGUGACAUGGUGCACAGGGUUGCAAUGCCAUUCAGGUUUGGCCCAGCUACUGCUCCAUCAUUCAGUCCCAUACUUCAAGAGGGCAGGUGAAAUUAAAAACAUCACAUUUAAACAGAUGAGAAACUACUUUUAUGCAGCCUAUAUUUAACAUCUCUCAGGAUAUUAAAGGAAAUAACUUAGUAAGUUUCAAAAGAGGACUGGUCACAUAUGAGCAGGAACAGCAUAGUAAUGAUACCAGCUAGACUACCAACUACAAGAGCCAUCAAAUCCUCAGACUUCAGCAGAUUACCAGCUGGAACAGCAUUGUAUUCACAGACAGACACUUUGAAGGGUUUUACAUCUACCUCCCAUAUUGCUAUUAUGACAGAAAGGACACUUGACUAGAAGGAUCAUUGGUCCUUUUUAGUCUGGCAGAUCCUGUGCAUUCUGAAAGAUGACAACCUAACAUGUCUCUGAGCCAAGAUACCAAAGGUAAAAGAGAUUACGCUAAAGCCAGCAUGGACAUACUCAUCCAGUUACAUUAUUUCACAACAUUCAGCAGCAGUCUCCAGCGGAAAUACUGUACAGUAUUUGUAUUUUAUUACUACACCUUCUGGUUUGUGCUGUUUGCGUAAUUGUUCCCUGUGUAUCUUGCCUCCUGGGAACUCCUGAAGCCAAGUUUAGUCUGGUCUGUCUGUAUGUAACCCUCAAGCUCCUUCUACAGCAGCUGGGAAGGGUUUCAGUGUUCUCCAAGGACAUGUAACUGGAGAGAAAAACAACUGUUUCCACUGGUGAUGGGUCUGGAAAUUCAUAGGAAAGUAUACUCAAGAAGAGCUACUGCCAACAAGGGAGAGAAACAAAUGGAUCAAGUUACCAGGAGAGGAAUCAAUUGCAGCUGGAGGGGGUUUCCUGAAGACAAGGUGACCGUGGCAAUUUGCAUCAGCAGCAGCGGAGAGGAAGGGAGCAUAGCAACAAGCGAGGGUCAGGAGAUGGAGGAGAAGCAUACAAGCCAACAGAGAAGCAGGAGCACAGGGAUCCUAUCACUGGCUCUAUCGGCUCAUCCAGUUCAGCCAUGGCACUUGGAGGUUCUUCUAUUUCUAACAUCAAUGCAAGUUGCAGAAGCUUUGAUUUAGCAGCCAUCUGGACAAUCAGCGAUAGAAACUGCAUGUGUUUAUGAUGUGGAUCUAACAAGGAGGCAAUAAGUGCAGGUUUGGCAGGAUCAUUGGGUUUCAUGCGAUGCUCCAGAGAGUGACAAACAGCAGCCUUGAAAUCAGUGACUUUUCCAUUUUCAACGGGAGUGUCGCUUCUGAGGGGAGUUUGGAUAAGACUGACUGUUCAGCAGACCUGGCAGUUGUAGCGCAUUUUAAAGUGGAAAGUAGCAAUAAGAUAUCCUCUACUAAUUAGCAGUGCUCAUCUUGCAGCUGAAGUGUUCAGGUAUCAGAUUGUUUUGUUACAGGGCUAUCUGAAAGCGCAGCUGUUAUGCCUACCUUUGCUCACUGAGUCAUAUACUGAACAUGCCACAUAAUGAAUUCUAGUGAGUUUUACAUGACUGAAUCAGACAGUGUCACUUACCCUGAAGCUGUGUUUGUUUUCUUUCCAGAGCUUUUGCAGCCACAGUGCUGUGGUGGCAGUGUGCAACUAGUCUACUUGCAGCUGCAACAGCACGAUCCACGCUACUUGAAGAAAACUCAUGAUUUAUGGUUAGCUGCAAUGUAACAUACCUCUGUGUGUUGGCGAGCAUAAUGUUGCUUGCAUUAUUGUGUAUACACGCCAAGACAGCCUGCCAGACCCUAUCUUUCCACUGUAGCAUUUAAUUUUUCAGCAUAGUUUUCCACUACACGUCAUUCUGCCAUACUUUUAGUUUGUAGAACCGCAGACUGAAUCUCCCAAUUUUCCAUAUAAUAGCAAAUGACAGUCAUGUAGCUUUCUGUAGUGAAUGCUGUCCAGCAGUCAGUGGUGAAAGCUACUUUAAUGGCAUUUUCCAAUUUUUCCUGGACAGACUUCACACAGUCCUCAUAGCACUUCUCUAGUCACAAGGUUAUAGUCUGUCUCACAGGCACACAGUAUUCAGAUUCUACCAAACUUAU